rnacentral:misc_RNA from 1 species
AAGGAUCAUUAACGAAUCAUAAGUCGGCCUUGCUGUUGCUGGUGGAGAGAUCCACAUGUGCACGCUCGGUCGCAAAUCCACACACCUGUGCAUCUAUGACUCGAGGUUGUCGUCGUAUGACCGAGAGUAACUUUUACACACUCUUGAAUGUAACGGAAUGUCUCUUGUGCGUAAUGUACAAUUAAACAACUUUCAACAACGGAUCUCUUGGCUCUC